rnacentral:hammerhead_ribozyme from 1 species
AUUCAACUGACGAGUUCCAAAUAAGACGAAACCUGCAUCCUGAAU